rnacentral:rRNA from 1 species
UACGAAGGGGGCUAGCGUUACUCGGAAUUACUGGGCGUAAAGCGUGCGUAGGUGGUUCGUUAAGUCCGAUGUGAAAGCCCUGGGCUCAACCUGGGAAUGGCAUGGGAUACUGGCGGGCUAGAGUGUGGUAGAGGGUGGCGGAAUUCCCGGUGUAGCAGUGAAAUGCGUAGAUAUCGGGAGGAACAUCUGUGGCGAAGGCGGCCACCUGGACCAGCACUGACACUGAGGCACGAAAGCGUGGGGAGCAAACAGG